rnacentral:lncRNA from 1 species
UACAUGGAAGCUUCAGUGUCAUUAACAGAAAAUCUGCAAAUGAAAUGUUUCCUCUGAAUUGCUUGGCACACAAACUUUUCUGUGGUACCUGAUUUAGUUGUCCAUUGAGAGUUCUGACAGUGGAAAAGUGGAGGAUUAACUCUCUUUUCCUAGGCUAAGAUAUCCAUCUUAUUUUGCCCUCAAACAUCAGAGUUCCUGGUUCAUGGGCCUUUGGACGGGCAUGCCUUUCUUAUUACUCAGCAUCCCACCAUAGCUGAGGUCCAG